rnacentral:misc_RNA from 1 species
GAUGAAGAACGCAGCAAAAUGCGAUACUUGGUGUGAAUUGCAGAAUCCCGUGAACCAUCGAGUUUUUGAACGCAAGUUGCGCCCGAAGCCUUUUGGCCGAGGGCACGUCUGCCUGGGCGUCACGCAUCGCGUCGCCCCCCACAAUUCUCCGUAAAGGGAACGUGUGUUUUGGGGGCGGAUAUUGGUCUCCCGUGCUCAUGGCGUGGUUGGCCGAAAUAGGAGUCCUUUCGAUGGACGCACGAACUAGUGGUGGUCGUAAAAACUCUCGUCUUUUGUUUCGUGCUGUUGCUCGCAAGGUAAACUCUUUAAAAACCCCAAUGUGUCGUCUCUUGACGACGCUUCGACCGCGACCCCAGGUCAGGCGGGACUACCCGCUGAGUUUAAGCAUAUCAAUAAGCGGAGGA